CCUACGGGAGACAGCAGUGGGGAAUAUUGGGCAAUGGGCGCAAGCCUGACCCAGCAACGCCGCGUGAAGGAAGAAGGCUUUCGGGUUGUAAACUUCUUUUAAGGGGGAAGAGCAGAAGACGGUACCCCUUGAAUAAGCCACGGCUAACUACGUGCCAGCAGCCGCGGUAAUACGUAGGUGGCAAGCGUUGUCCGGAUUUACUGGGUGUAAAGGGCGUGCAGCCGGAGAGACAAGUCAGAUAUGAAAUCCACGGGCUCAACCCGUGAACUGCAUUUGAAACUGUUUCCCUUGAGUGUCGGAGAGGUAAUCGGAAUUCCUUGUGUAGCGGUGAAAUGCGUAGAUAUAAGGAAGAACACCAGUGGCGAAGGCGGAUUACUGGACGAUAACUGACGGUGAGGCGCGAAAGCGUGGGGAGCAAACAGGAUUAGAUACCCCAGUAGUC
rnacentral:rRNA from 1 species